ACACUCCUGCGGGAGGCAGCAGUGGGGAAUUUUGGACAAUGGGCGAAAGCCUGAUCCAGCAAUGCCGCGUGAGUGAAGAAGGCCUUCGGGUUGUAAAGCUCUUUUGUCAGGGAAGAAACGGUGAGAGCUAAUAUCUCUUGCUAAUGACGGUACCUGAAGAAUAAGCACCGGCUAACUACGUGCCAGCAGCCGCGGUAAUACGUAGGGUGCAAGCGUUAAUCGGAAUUACUGGGCGUAAAGCGUGCGCAGGCGGUUUUGUAAGUCUGAUGUGAAAUCCCCGGGCUCAACCUGGGAAUUGCAUUGGAGACUGCAAGGCUAGAAUCUGGCAGAGGGGGGUAGAUUUCCACGUGUAGCAGUGAAAUGCGUAGAUAUGUGGAGGAACACCGAUGGCGAAGGCAGCCCCCUGGGUCAAGAUUGACGCUCAUGCACGAAAGCGUGGGGAGCAAACAGGAUUAGAUACCCUAGUAGUCCCA
rnacentral:rRNA from 1 species